GGGACAGGAGCACCGACAAAUGCGCAGAUGCAGCACCGCCCGCGAAAUUGCUGAUGCUCCUCAGGCGUUGCCAAGUCAACCCGUGUCAGGCCAGUGUCCUGUUGGAACGCGCUACUAGAUAUGGCAUCUAACUCAUCUCCAGUUCCAGACCCAUCACGCUACACGAGUGAAUCGAAGAGGAGGAUGCUUUGGCCUUAAAGAUCUUUAUGAGAGAUUAUUUUAAAAAUUAAGCCAGUAUGAAGAGAAAAAUCUCCAAUUUCUUCAGAGGAAAGACAGAAAGAGUGAAAGAGGGAGUCAGAGGGAGAUUAGACGGAAGAGGAGACUAUGACCUGGAGGCUGAGAUUAGAGUGUUGUGGCCACAAGCCAAGGAAUGUCAAGGCCACCAGAAACUCCUGGAAGAAGAGAGGUAUGGAUUCUCCCCAGACUCUCACGGAAGCAUGACCCUCUGACAGCUCAUUUCAGACUUCUGGCUUCCAGAACUGCAAGCGAAUAAAUUUCUGUUGCUUUAAUCCCCCAAGUUUGUGGUACUUUGUUAGAGGAGCCCAAAGAAACGCAUGCGGGGAGAUACACUCACUUCCAGCUCUUUUUCCUCUGCUGUUUCCAGGAACAGAUCUGGCCGGAAGGGCUUCACUCCGUUGGAAUUCUCCACUCUGAAAAUCUUCUCUGAUGGGCUCUGCUUCCACAAGCCAAUAACUUCAUGACUUCUCCCUGAUAUCAAGGGACUCAUGGAAGACGGAAAUCCACAGAAAUUUGCUCAACUCAACAAGCAUGUGCUGAUUAGGGGAGGUUGCCAAAAUGAGCCAACUGUUGCCCAAAUGAGCCAACUGUUGCCCCUUGUGGCUUGAAGUGUUUCUUUUCUUAUCAGUAUCACCAGAUCCUCAGCACCUUACACAGGCUUAUGAGGAAAAAAAAAAUUUUUUUUCUAAGUGAGAAACUAGUAAAAAUUUCAUUCAUUACAGACC